UACGUAGGGGGCAAGCGUUAUCCGGAUUUACUGGGUGUAAAGGGAGCGUAGACGGUAUGGUAAGUCAGAUGUGAAAGCCCGGGGCUCAACCCCGGGACUGCAUUUGAAACUAUCAAACUGGAGUGCAGGAGAGGUAAGUGGAAUUCCUAGUGUAGCGGUGAAAUGCGUAGAUAUUAGGAGGAACACCAGUGGCGAAGGCGGCUUACUGGACUGUAACUGACGUUGAGGCUCGAAAGCGUGGGGAGCAAACAGGAUUAGAUACCCGGGUAGUCCCUGAG
rnacentral:rRNA from 1 species